CUAAUGUGGCAAGCGUGAGGUGGGGUAGGAACUACCCCAAUAAUCUAUGUUUUUAACUAGGGGAAAAAGAAAGAAACUAAAGGAAACCAGCAACGCCACCCUGGGAGAAAUCACCCAGGGAAAAGAAAGAAAUCUAUGAAUAAGGUAAAUUACUAAAUCUAAACAAAAGGACAACACAAGUUCGUUACACUGAGCAGGCGAGAGACGUGUUUCCAAAAGCAUAUACAACAGUUUAUUGGGCACAAUUCAAAUCUAAAAAAAGUUAUCCUAUUUGUAUAAAUUAUCAUGUAUUCCAGGGCUGGGGCAUUUGUGCUCAAGGUGAGUGAGGGGUGAAAGUAUAAACUUAAAAUGGGAGCACCACAAUCCAAAAUUAACACUCCAAACACACAAGGGCAAAGCAAAACAAAGGAGGGGAGUGAAUAAGACACUACACACGAAGGGACACCAUCACCAAACAGGAUCACCAGUGAGGCCCUCAGCACCUGGAAUCACAAAGAUGGACAGUUAAUGGGAGACUGAAAAUAAAUUCAACAACAAUAGAGAUCCAAUACAAAUCAAAAAGAAAGGAAAAUAUCAAAACAGGUUACAGUUUGAACUCAAAGAACUAAACCAUCAAAUAAUCAAAAAUAGCUACAAAAAUAAUAAAGAAAAAUCUCCCUUGCCAUCCACCUCCUAUUUCAGGCAGCUAAACAUGAAAACAUAAUACAAUAGGCAUAAAAAUGCGGACAACGGGAUUUCCACACCCGAACGCAGCAGCAGGCAAGGUCCGUAAAAAGUGUGGGUUUUAUCCCCACACAAAGCAGCAGCAGUCCAAAACGGGUCAGGGCAGUCGGGACCUCAGCGUGGCAUAGCUCCGGGACAAAACGAGCAAACACGCAGUCCGACCUGCCAGCGCCUGCACAUAAACGCAAGUUUAUUACGGUGCAGACUAAAUCGCCGACGCGCAAUAGACUGCAACAUACCUGCACGGUGGAACAAUUUGCACAACCCUGCAGAGAGUGCCGAGCGUCUGCCGAACCUGCAGCCAGGUAAACCCGGAAGGGGGGAGGUGCGUAUCAGCUGUCAGAGAGCGAGCAGAUCUACAGGUCCCUCCUUAUAUAAUAAAUUAAAGGGGCACAAUACUGCGAGUGGGCGGAGCCACUGGAAAAGCAGUCAUCCUGCUACACUAACAAAAACAAACUUUU
ensembl:lncRNA